GACGAACGCUGGCGGCGUGCCUAAUACAUGCAAGUAGAACGCUGAAGAGAGGAGCUUGCUCUUCUUGGAAGAGUUGCGAACGGGUGAGUAACGCGUAGGUAACCUGCCUUGUAGCGGGGGAUAACUAUUGGAAACGAUAGCUAAUACCGCAUAACAAUGGGUGGCCCAUGUCAUUCAUUUGAAAGGGGCAACUGCCCCACUACAAGAUGGACCUGCGUUGUAUUAGCUAGUAGGUGAGGUAACGGCUCACCUAGGCGACGAUACAUAGCCGACCUGAGAGGGUGAUCGGCCACACUGGGACUGAGACACGGCCCAGACUCCUACGGGAGGCAGCAGUAGGGAAUCUUCGGCAAUGGGGGCAACCCUGACCGAGCAACGCCGCGUGAGUGAAGAAGGUUUUCGGAUCGUAAAGCUCUGUUGUAAGUCAAGAACGAGUGUGAGAGUGGAAAGUUCACACUGUGACGGUAGCUUACCAGAAAGGGACGGCUAACUACGUGCCAGCAGCCGCGGUAAUACGUAGGUCCCGAGCGUUGUCCGGAUUUAUUGGGCGUAAAGCGAGCGCAGGCGGUUUGAUAAGUCUGAAGUUAAAGGCUGUGGCUCAACCAUAGUUUGCUUUGGAAACUGUCAAACUUGAGUGCAGAAGGGGAGAGUGGAAUUCCAUGUGUAGCGGUGAAAUGCGUAGAUAUAUGGAGGAACACCGGUGGCGAAAGCGGCUCUCUGGUCUGUAACUGACGCUGAGGCUCGAAAGCGUGGGGAGCGAACAGG
rnacentral:rRNA from 1 species